UCGGGAAUAUUGCACAAUGGAGGAAACUCUGAUGCAGUGACGCCGCGUGCAGGAAGAAGGUUUUCGGAUUGUAAACUGCUUUAGACAGGGAAGAAACAAGACAGUACCUGUAGAAUAAGCUCCGGCUAACUACGUGCCAGCAGCCGCGGUAAUACGUAGGGAGCAAGCGUUAUCCGGAUUUAUUGGGUGUAAAGGGUGCGUAGACGGGUAAACAAGUUAGUUGUGAAAUCCCUCGGCUUAACUGAGGAACUGCAACUAAAACUAUUUAUCUUGAGUGCGGGAGAGGAAAGUGGAAUUCCUAGU
rnacentral:rRNA from 1 species